GAAGAGGUAACAUUAUUAACAAGAUAAUCGACCUCUGUUGGAGUAGCGUUCAGAUAGCUGCUCUGCUCUGUGUUGGUACAGGUCAUUGAAGAAGAUAACAGUGGGUGGAUUAUAUCCUUAACCUUAGUUACAACACUUUCAGAAAAACAUCUACUGUGAUGACAUCUAUUUCUCACUGCUGUCUAAUCAAUUAUUGUAAAUGUAAAUGUUCUCAUGUUCACUGUUUGCCUGCUGUAUCAGGAAUAAAUGAAAAUAAGAUGAAUUAUCUCAGCUUUUUUUAGCUCAGCAAUAUUAAUGAUCAGCUUUGAAUGCCAAAUAAGGUUUUGGAGGGCCAGAUACAUUAAUUGAUUUAUUUAAUUACUUAUUGAUUCUUUGAUUUUAAAAUGCAUCGUCACAGUUUGGAAAUAUAAAACAUCUUGCAGGAGCCAAGAGUCUUCGUCAGCAGUGAAAACACAGGGCGUCAUAAGAGGAAUGAGAAAAAUGUCAAAUCCAGCCAAUGGAGCAGAGUUUGGGCGGGCCUUUCAGCAGGAAACUGAAGGAAUGAAGUGGUUUCUGUUUAACCGGUCAAGGCGCACACGUCUGCUGAGUUUACUGACUUCUGUUAAACACAGUUUCCUGUUUGUUUUUUAAAAGUUUACCAGAAAUUAAAUGCACGACUUCCUGCAUGUGAUCACACGUAUUGAUCAUCUGGCACACUCUCUCUCUCUCUCUCUCUCUCUCACACACACACACACACACACACACACACACACAGAAAAACACAUGCACAGCAAAAAAAUGAAAUUAAAUGGAGUCAAAUUCAAACACAGAGGAGAGAACUUAUAGUUUGCGUGUGUUGGGGGGGGCCACAGAAACCACAGCGAGGAGGUGGAGGUGGUGUCGGGUUUGCAGCGACAGUGGUCGAGUUACAUAGAAAAUGAACAGAGGGAGAGAGAGAGGGCGUGUUGGCCGGUAGAACAGGUUUGGGCGAGGCAGUCAAGCGAGCUUCACACACACAGUGAACCAGAGGGAGAGAGAGCAGAGUCAGAUUUGUUUCCUUUUCAGAGAAGAAGACGAACACGGUGGCGGCGACCAACGAGCAUACAGAGGUCUCUGCCUGCACUGCCAGCUGCCUGAUUGGACAUAAUUUUAGCCUCGCCCUCUUGUGACGUGUCAGCAUGUCCUCAAAUAUCAACGUCUCCCUGGAGAACCCCUACGGUCAGGUAGCCAUUCCACGGGCUAAGCUCCACUCCUCCAGUGACUCCACAGUGAUCGCCAAUCCGAUGGUUAUAACCAGCAAUGAGAACCCGUACCAAGUGUCGAGCUCCGCCCCCCCACCAUACACGGUGAAGGAGGAUGGAGGGGGGGAUGAUGAAGGGGGGAGCUGCCGUGCCUGCUGCUACCGUUGCAGGAGAAAGAAGUGACAUCAUCGCAGCAAAUCGUGAUGUCAUAACAGUAGAAGGAUUGUGACUGGCUCAGAUUUAUUUAUUUGUUCUUCCAGAGGAAACAAGGAUGGAAGGAAAUGAGGAAACAAUGAAGGAAGGAGGAAAGGAAACUUCAUGAACUGGAGGACGUUUUCUCGCUGCGGCCAUUUUGUGUCUCAAAAACUUCAUGUUUGUGAAGCUCAAACCUCCGCCCCUCACCACCAUCCCUACCCAGAACUGGGAUUUCAGAGGCCAUGGGGACUUCUGUGGUUACGAGCAUUUGAGGGGUCAUGGGGUCUUUGUGGUGCCCUGCGGACUUUGGGGGUCAUGGGGACUUCGAGGGUCACAGGGACUUUUGUGGGACUCGGGGUCUUUGUGGGGUCCUGGGGGUUUUUUUUGCCCUUGAUGGUAUUUUUAUUUUUUUACUGGCAGUUUUUUGAUCAAUAAAUAAAAAAAAUAUUGGGGAGAUUAUUUUUAGACACAAAAUGGCCACCACUGAACCGCAGUUUCACUUCUGUGCUGUUGUCAAGAAACUUAUAGUUUUGAUGUUUUCCUGUAAACAUUAUUAGGCAUGAUUUUAUAGUGUUACUAGAUAUAAUCAAUAAUGUGGAUUAUAACUGAUUAUAUCUAAUACCAGACAGAGGAUUGUUCCACAAUCUUCUACAUCAUUAUAUAGUGAUGUUUGAAUUCAGAAUUCAGCUGAAAAAAAUCUUUAAAAGAUUCAGUUUAUUGAUUGAAACAUUAUUGAUUAUUACAAAAGUUGUUGAUCAUUACGAACUCCAAAUGAACUGAUAAAAAAAAUAUUUUUUAUCAGGUUGUAACAAAGCAGCUAUAAAUUAUACUGUUUGUUUUUGUUGACAAUGAUGAUGAACAUUUGUGUGUUGUUGUUGUUGUUUUUUUUAAUAUUUGACACAUAAUUGGGAUUAUUCUUGUUUUUUUCCCGUUUUCAUCACAGUGAUGAUGAAAAUCAAAUUAAGCAAUCAGAGCACAGGUCAUGUGAAAUAAAAUGUUACAUUUAAACCUUCAUCUCUGUUGCUGCUCGCACAACAUUAAAGUCUCAGUAACUGCGAGCCGAACAUUUCUCUGAUUUUUAGAUUCAUUCUUAUGAUGGGAAUUUUUAUAAAUUGUCAUUAAUUAUUGUUAAAAUGUAAAGUCAACAUUUAAUUAUUUUACUGUUAAUAAUGAAACAAUUAUUGAUGAUGUAGUUGAUCAAAUAUUGUGAUCGGAGCUGAUAGGAGGCAGAGCCCUGCUCAAUUUGGAUCUUGGACCUUUGAUUUGAUCCACAAGCAUAAACUAAGAUGUAUAAAUCUGUACAAUGGCUUGUGUCACAAAUGUGUCCUCCAGCACAAAACAAACACAAAUAAAAAAAAUAAUUUGAA